GGAGGACGAUCUGGCUGUGACAUGUCACCCCCAUUGAUUGCCAGGGUUGAUUCGGCUGAUCUGGCUGGCUAGGCGGGUGUCCCCUUCCUCACAGCUCCCUGUGCAUCCCUCCCAAAGCUGUGUACUCGGUGGAAGAGGACGACCAUCCCAGAUAGUGUACUAAUCUUCGGUCAAAGGUAAAACCUCUUCUAUCAACAUUGUCAGUAUUAGGAAGUAUUUUAUGCUUCUAUAG
rnacentral:sRNA from 1 species